UCCCCGGUUCACCAUCAGGUGAUCAGAGCCUGCCGACCAGGGGGGAUGAACCAAGAGGUGGUCAUUGCACCUCAUAGUGACUGGUUGAGCGGUCAUUCUGGUCGUUCUGCUGUUCAGUCGAUUUGCAUCUUACUCUUUUGUGUAUACAAAUGAACUACUAGCCUGUCAUUAGCUACAGCCAUAACUCUUUUUUUAAAAUAUUUUUUUAUUGAUUUCAGAGAAGAAAGAGAGAGAUAUAGAAAUAUCAAUGAUUCUCUUUCAUCACGAUGUUUCUAUCUCUCUCUCUUAACCUUAAUUUAUAGUAAAAUGUCCCUCAAGUAUAGUGAAUAUAUUUCAAGAGAUAUGACUGUAAUUCUAUAUUUUAUGAAACCUUCACAUUGCUAUUUUUACACAUGGAAAAUUUGUCCUCAAUAGUUAAGGCAUCAGCAAUGUUUUUUAUUGGACCUCUCAUCCUUUUCUCAUUGAUUUGUAAUUGUUGAUUAUGUAUCAUGGUUAUAUUAUCUAAUAUGUAAGGAUAUUAUCCUCUGUUAACCAUAUGCAUUGCAAAUAAUUUAAUCAGUUAUUAGUCUUUGAUUUGUUUAUGCUUUCUUUUUUUAUUGAGACUUUAACAAUAUUCUUAUUUUGAAUUUAUUGAUCUUUUCCUUGAUGGGUUUCCUUUGUGGAUUUCAGGCUCAAUUUGAAAGACACUACAAGAUAUUUUAUACAACUGGCAUUUUCUUCUAGCAUUUUUAAGUUUUCUUUCUUUUUUUAAUUUUAUGGGUUACCUUUUGGCUUGCUUUUCAACUGAAAAGACAACCUCAGUAAAUAUGGAGAGAUUGAAAUGUGAGCAACAGGAUGUCCGCUGAAUAGAAGUUUCUGAGGAGAGUGAGAGCAGGGCGGGAGUCUGCGAACUCUGGUGUGAAGGCUGAGGAAGCAUCCCUCCUGUUAAACAGGAAAGAAGAGCCAAGAGACCUGAAAACCGGAGCUGAGAAGCCCAAAGAAGGCAUGAGGUACUCUAUAGCUUGCUGGUCAGGAAAAUCGAAUAAAACAUAUGUAAGUACUUAUUUUUGGAAGACGUUUCUUGUCUUAUUUAAUAGUUUUGAUGGGAAUGUAUGUAUCUUAUGUGCUGAAGCUGUUGCUUGCUUGACUCAAGUCCCCAAUGACAGCCUGGGUGGGGCCGUUCGCCUGUUUGUCCUGAAGGUGGGAUGAAGCAUGUUCAUGACCUCGGGGGCAGCAGAACGUAGCUGCUGGCCUGCAUAAUUAACGAGGGAAUCAAAGGCUUCAGCUGCCC